GUUGUUUGAGGGAUAGGGGGUACUGCCUGCCCGGUGACUUUAGUUAAACGGCCGCGGUAUUUUGACCGUGCGAAGGUAGCAUAAUCAUUUGCCUUUUAAAUGGAGGCUGGUAUGAAUGGCAAGACGGGGGUCUGGCUGUCUUCAUUCUGCUAAUUUGAAGUUAAUUUUCUUGUGAAGAAGCAAGGAUAAAGCCGUGGGACGAGAAGACCCUGUCGAGCUUAAGCUAGUUCUGUGUAGUUUUUGUAGAUAGGGCUUACUUUUGCUAAUAUUGGCCUAAUGGGUUAAGUGAAUUUACUUUAGCUGGUUCUAGGUUUAUACAGACUGUUUGGGUUGGGGCAACCGCGGAGAACAAAUAUCCUCCGUUAAGAUAACUAGGGAAGAUGAUAGUCUUCUAGUACAGUGGUUUAAUAAUGAUCCGCCGGACGGGGCGAUUAAAAGAACAAGUUACCGCAGGGAUAACAGCGUAAUUUCUUUAGAGAGUUCGUAUUGAGAAAGGAGUUUGCGACCUCGAUGUUGGAUCGAGAUUUCCUGGGGGUGUAGCAGCUCCCAAAGGUUGGUCUGUUCG
rnacentral:rRNA from 1 species